AGCACUUUCCCCAUCUCCGAGUGACAGUGACAGACUCCUGAAACUGUCCUUCCAAAAACCUGCCAAUUACCCCAUGCAAAUCAGCGGCUAACAAAGCGCCUGGCGGAACGCGGCUGUUCCAGGUAGCGGCCCUGGCUGGCUCCCUGAGCUCUGCGUUUCCGAGUCACCCACCGAGGUCCCGGUGCCAGCUGGACCACGGAGCGUGCCCAUCCCCCCGCGGCAGGAUGGGCCUUCUGGUGCUCUGCCCGGUCAGUGACGGGGGUCCCCGAGUUCCCACACUGCAGUCCAGCCGGAGCUGCCUCCUCUGCUGCUGCUUCGGCCUCGACAGCGCAGGGCUGGAGCUGACGGGCGCCCGGAGCCUCCCCGCGAAUUCAGCCACAGGUGACCUGGGGCUGCUGGAGGGACCCACCGCCAGGGCGGGUCACACGUGAGCCCCCGCUGUGGUCAGGACCGCCCCUCUCCCCAGAGCCCUCCCCUGCCCCUCUGUGCUCAGAGCCCCCUCCCUGCCCAGCCCCUGCCCUGCCCCCACUGCCUCCCCAGGGGCCACCCCUUCUCUGCCCUCCUGUGGCUGCCCCUCGGGGCCCGAUUUCUCUUGGGACGAGUCGAGUCCUGGGGCAGCCAUCUCUGCGGGGCUGUGUCCGGGUCUCAGAGGUCGGCCGGGCUGUGCGCUUGCGGCCAGGGAGACACCAGGGCUGUUUCUGCGUGUGUCUGGGGCCCAGCGGGGCCGGGGCCGGGCCUGUCCUUCCUCUCAUCACAGCCGCCUGCCCCGGUCGCCAGGCCCCGCCCCGCGGGACCCUCCUCCUCUCGGCAGCGCUGCUCACCAGGCUUCCAUCUCCUGCUGGCCGCGAGACCCACUGCCACGGUCAGACCACACGGACCCUGCGACCUCCCCGUCCCCGCAGACUCCGGGCAGCACCCUGCCCUGCCCUCCAGGCUGCCCGACCCUCCUGGGGGGCUGGGAGAGCUGAGCCCGGCACCCGCCUUGGGCCCGCCGGGGCUGAGCACGAGUGCCAGAGCUCCGGGCAGUGGCCCCUCCUAGAGGCCCCUCGGAGGUGCCCGGGAGGGAGCCGAGAGCCCCGGCCUGUGGGUCCCCAGGCAGACCCCCGCCCAGAGCCCAGCUGGCUCACGCUGCCUCCGCCCCAGGCCGGGUGACAGGCAGCUCCCACUUUGCUCCCUGCUGGGCUGGCAGGCGGGGACUGGGCCCCUAAUGGCGGGGGCGACCCAGCAGCCAGCCCCAGGCUCCGUGACCCGCUCACUCUCCAAACGUCGCCUCUUUAGCAUAACAAAAGACGCCUUUAUUGCUUUUUCACUUGCAAAAAAACUCCUGCAGUUUCUGGAGCACUGGUGGGGAGCUGGGACGGAGUCCAAGGAUAUAUUUCUUAUUAUAAAUCGCAGUAUCACGGAGCUUAUAUUGCCAAAGGGAACCGGGGCUUAGCGUUCUCUGCCAGAGGUGAUCGCCCGGACCCCAGGGCCUUUCGGGGACUUAGCGACACGUGCGUGGGCGGCUGGCGUUUGCUGCCCUCCUCGGCUCUGCGCCCCAGCCCGCCCCACUGCCGGCACCGGCAUCUUCCUCACCGGCACCGUCAUUCACCCUGACGGUCAGUCACAGUGUCAUUAUCCCCACGGCAGGAACCCCUCCCCGAGAGGACGCGGGCGGGUGGAGGCCAGAGGCAGCAUCAGGGGUCACUGCGCCCGCCUGCCACGCGCCUGUCCUGGCCACCGCUGUGCAUUUGCGCUCACGGCCCAGUCCUGCAGGCCGGCCCGUCACUACCUGGGGUUCGGCCUGUGCCAGUGUGAUGUGCCAGUUCUCCUGCUGAGGCUGUUCUGGAAGCGAGGGCUCGCGCGCCUGCAAACAUGUGUACAGCUUUGACCCAGAAACUUUGCCUCUGAGACGCCACACGAGGAAAACAAGCGCUAAGCAGCGGGGAGAUUUAUCUCCCGAGACGCUUCUUACAGCAAUAUUUAUGACACGGGGAAAUUGCAGGCAACCUAAAUAGUGAAGAAUCGGGGCUUGGCAAAAUAAAUUACACUACACA